CGAUGGCCCGCGGAGGGCGCUCGUGCUCUCGGACGCGGAACAGCAAGACGGGCGCGGGACCUUGCGUCCUAGACCCGCCCGACCGAGCUAAAAGCUUUCGUCGCUAGACACGUACGACCGCCGUAACCGCCUUGCCCUCUCGUCCCGCCCGGUGCGGCUCGACUAGGUGCAUGCGCUGCUCGGCGUCGCACAGGAAUGC
rnacentral:misc_RNA from 1 species